AGGUAACCAGGCUCUGUAGCCGUGGCAGCGGCCGUGGCAGGCUGGCUGGGUACCGGCUGCCGCUGACCCGGGAGACGCUACAUCAACCGGGGUUGCAGCGCCCUGCCGCCGCGGGGCCGGCAGCCAUGGCCAAGGACAUCCUGGGUGAAGCAGGGCUGCACUUUGAUGAACUGAACAAGCUGAGGGUGUUGGACCCAGAGGUUACCCAGCAGACCAUAGAGCUGAAGGAAGAGUGCAAAGACUUUGUGGACAAAAUUGGCCAGUUUCAGAAAAUAGUUGGUGGUUUAAUUGAGCUUGUUGAUCAACUUGCAAAAGAAGCAGAAAAUGAAAAGAUGAAGGUAAGAUGAGCAUGUCUUUUGCCUACAUCUUGGCCUGGGACCCUAGUUCACUACCCUCUCAUCCUUCUUCCCUCUUGAUUUGUUUAGAGGGGUAGAGGGGUGGGUGGGUGAAUUUUUAUUUAAGAUUUUAAUAACUUCUGGUCCACUUAACCUACUGAACUUAUGCCAGUCUUUAUUUCCUUUAAUCUUUUUUUUUUUUGAGACAGAGUCUUGCUCUGUCACCCAGGCUGGAGUGCAGUGGUGCAAUCUCGGCUCACUGCAACCUCUGCCUCUCAGGUUCAAGCGAUUCUCUCAUCUCAGCCUCCCGAGUAGCUGGGACUACAGGUGUGUGCCACCACACCCAGCUGAAUUUUUGUAUUUUUUUUUUUUUUGAGACGGAGUUUUCUCUUGUUGCCCAGGCUGGAGUGCAAUUGUGCGAUCUUGGCUCACUGCAACCUCCGCCUCCUGGGUUCAAGCGAUUCUCCUGCCUCAGCCUCCUGAGUAGCUGGGAUUACAGGCAUGUGCCACCAUGCCUGGCUAAUUUUGUAUUUUUAGUGGAGACAGGGUUUCUCCAUGUUGGUCAGGCUGGUCUCAAACUCCCAACCUUAGGUAAUCCGCCCGCCUCAGCCUCCCAAAAUGCUGGGAUUAAGGCGUGAGUGACUGCGCCUGGCCAUUUUUUUGUAUUUUUAGUAAAGACGGGGUUUUACCAUGUUGGCCAGGCUGGUUGCAAACUCCUGACCUCAAGUGAUCUGCCCACCUUGGCCUCC
rnacentral:sRNA from 1 species